GAUGAACGCUGGCGGCGCGCCUAACACAUGCAAGUCGAACGAUUAAACCGCCCUUGGGCGGAUAUACAGUGGCGAACGGGUGAGUAACGCGUGACCAACCUUCCCCCCGCAUCGGGACAACCCGGGGAAACCCGGGCUAAUACCGGAUAUGCCGGGUAUGGCGCAUGUCAUACCCAGGAAAGCUUUUGCGGCGGGGGAUGGGGUCGCGUCCCAUCAGGUAGACGGCGGGGUAGUAGCCCACCGUGCCAACGACGGGUAGCCGGGUUGAGAGACCGACCGGCCACAUUGGGACUGAGAUACGGCCCAGACUCCUACGGGAGGCAGCAGUGGGGAAUCUUGCGCAAUGGGGGAAACCCUGACGCAGCGACGCCGCGUGCGGGAUGGAGGCCUUUGGGCCGUGAACCGCUUUCAGCAGGGAAGACAUUAAGGACGGUACCUGCAGAAGAAGCCCCGGCUAACUACGUGCCAGCAGCCGCGGUAAUACGUAGGGGGCGAGCGUUAUCCGGAUUCAUUGGGCGUAAAGCGCGCGCAGGCGGCGCACCAGGCGGGAUCUCGAAACCGGGGGCUCAACCUCCGGGCGGAUCCCGAACCGGUGUGCUCGAGUGCGGUAGAGGAAGUCGGAAUUCCCGGUGUAGCGGUGAAAUGCGCAGAUAUCGGGAAGAACACCGAUGGCGAAGGCAGACUUCUGGGCCGACACUGACGCUCAGGCGCGAAAGCUGGGGGAGCGAACAGG
rnacentral:rRNA from 1 species